rnacentral:tRNA from 1 species
GUGGGUACAGCUCAGUGGUAGAUCGCAUGCUUAGCACGCAUGAGGUCCUGGAUUCAAUACCCAGUGCCUUCA